rnacentral:rRNA from 1 species
GACAGAGGCCUCGAGCGUUAGGCGGAAUCACUGGGCUUAAAGCGUGUGUAGGCGGAUCGUUAAGUGCCUUGUGAAAUCCCACGGCUUAACUGUGGAACGGCUGGGCAUACUGGCGGUCUUGAGCCAUCUAGGGGCGACUGGAACAAACGGUGGAGCGGUGAAAUGCGUAGAUAUCGUUUGGAACGCCAAUGGUGAAAACAGGUAGCUGGGAGUGUGCUGACGCUGAGACACGAAAGCCAGGGGAGCGAACGGG